rnacentral:piRNA from 1 species
UUUCCAAUUCAAAAAUGUAAA